rnacentral:lncRNA from 1 species
CCCAAAAGCUCUCUAAGGCCAGCAGUAGCCAAGUCAGGAGCAAGGUCUCGGCACAGGAAAACCAUCAUAUCAACUUCUUCUUUAUCCAAUUCUUCUUCAAUCUGGUGAAUAAGGACAGCUGGUACUUGGCACUUGGUCAUCACUUUCUCGCUGUCCCUUUAAAACUGCUAGCCUUCCUUCUUUUAAACAGGAGGCCAACAUGACAUGAACUCCAUAUCUGCUACAGCACGUCUCUGGUGUUCAGCUGUAACUAUAUGCAUUUUGAAGUAAGUAAUUCCAAGCGCGCCGCGAAGGUCUCGUCUACAGCAGCGUGGCCAGCUCCGGCAUGGGAACGGGCGGGGCUUCGAGCAGGGCGGCGAGGGACGCCCUUCUGUGUUUCAGAGCACGGCUUAAAUGCUUUUCCCUCAUGCUUCCCAAGGCUACGGGAGACCUCAGCCGCCCCCGCGCGUGGAUAGCAGCAGUCGCUGUGCAAGGUCGAGAUCCCUCUCGCUGAGGGUCGAGGGCAGUGCUUUUGGUUGCCUUACUCUCCGUUAUUCUCUGCCGCGCCAAGUACGUCAGCCCUUACGGUUUAUCGUGACUUUGGCCAUCGGGUAUUUUGGAGCGAGGCAAGGCAAGGACUGCGCUGCUGGCUCGGUCACACCCUUCACCAGAAGGAACCGAGCUGCGCAAUUCCGCACACCCCGUCCGUCAAGAUGGCGGCGCUGUAGGAAAGGACGCUGCCGUGUGAAAGGGCGCGGCGCCUCCCGCCGGCCGCUGCGCGCGGAUGGCUGCCGGCGCCUCACGCUGCGUGUGCGCCGUGUCUGACGCGGAUAUUCCGGCCGUGAAGAUUUACCUUCGCGGCUCUUCGUCCGUGAGGCUGGCAGGUAGGACUCCACUCUCAGGAAAGCUUAGUAUUAGGAUAAAGACUUGUAUUUCGUAUCUAUUAUAGGAGUUGUCUGUGUACAAUAUUUUUAUAUUCCACAAUGUUGACAAAAUACAUUCAUGGUAAGUUAAGGCAGCAGCUAAGGGCUGAGGCUGAAGUGCUGCCUAGCUGUUAUAUCACUGAAUGAUCCCACGGUGAGUCAUAAAUUCAGGAAGUUUACUGAUGCUAGUGCAGCAUGACAGCUGAUACGCCUAACAUACUUAUGUAAAAUCAUGGUCCUCUAUUGAUAAACUCUCGAUAAACCAAAUGAUCCCUUAAAAAAAGGUAUAGAGGAACACGUUAGUUUGUAUCUUUGUAUUCUACAAUCUUUUUGCCCAAUUAAGCUAAGCAGCACACUGAUGUUACGCGUUCUGAAAACGUGCUUACCAUAACUUCUAAACCUGCAUCCAUCUGCUAGUGAUAGGAAAAGAAGAAUGUAUCUCUUCAGCUGCUGAAAAUCAGAGAGUAGAAUCAGUUGAGUUGGAAGGGACCUUCAAAGGUUAACUCGUUUGUAAUAGUGAAGCAGCAGGACUAAUGUUUGAAAAGACUCAUCCCACACAACUUGCAGCAGCCUCUCUUCAGACUCUGAAGCAUUCAGUACAGAACAGAGACCGAUAAAAAGUGAACCUAUAGAACAGUAUGAAAACAAGCUUUACCAACAAGAAACUAAAACCGAGAGCGACUAUUGCUUAGUUUCCCAAAGCAUUAUGCAAUGUGUGGCUGGGAGGCAGUGGAAAGCUGUGUCAGCACACACAGCAUGAGAACAGCUGAAAUGAGAAAUGUGCAUCUUAAGCUAAGAUUCACCGAUAGCACAUGUAAUGCUGGCUCUUAAUAGUUAACUGAAUUUUAGGUUGUUGAUCAGAAGAAAUCUUACACCGUUUAGUCUUAGGCCCACAUAGAGGGGGAGAAAAGUGAGUAUUAGCUUUUGCAAAUGUGUAUGCUUUCUGGGGGUACCUAAGGGACAGCAUGGAAAUACUUGGUGCAGUGGACUUCACACAGUAUGUUCUUCAUUUGCUUGAUGACAGACUGAUUGAUCUGCGUAGAGAUGUUUGAAGAAGACUUUAGGCAAAAAAUAAUUUGUGCACUAUGAACAGAGCUUUGAGCAAUGUCAUGCAGAGAUAUAAAGCUCCACUGAACACUACAGCUGCCCUCUCACAUCAACAGAUGCUUACUGGCUCUAAAAAUAAAGCCCUAUUGUAAUUCCAUUUAAAAAUGUUAUGUAAAUAAAUAUAUAUAUAUAAGGUACUUUUAAGCCUUUAAGAUAGGAGCUUCAAUUUUAUUUUAAUAAACCUGCGAUAUGUGACAUAGCUACCUCAAGAAACUUUCUGCUUUAUUCACAGUGGAUGCACACUAUAUAACUCUACCGGUAUGUAACAUUUAUCAGUUUUGCUUUUCUUUUUUAGUGAUACAGUUACCCUAUUGUCUGAAUUGAAAACUUAGAAAGUAUAACUGCCUUUUCUUUCCUUACUGGCGGCAUUUAAAAUAGGCUAUCCAGCCAGUGCUAAUUCCUAGCUCUGCAAAGGAGACACUGCCAAAAGGCCCUUUUUUUACUAUGUUUCCUCACCCUGGGCAUCCAAAAAGUGCUCUAGGAGGAAUAAUGCAAAUAACAUGAAAAAAAUUAAAAAUAGUAUAAGAAAGCUGUAUUAAUGCAAAAUUAUAACUGGAAAUGUAUACCAGAAAAAACAACUGAUCUCUAUUUUCAGUUUCUUUGAUUUACACUCAAGUAUAUUGGAGGUCAUACUAAGAUAAGGUACAGCUAUUGCUGAGUGAAAUGUACACUACUUUGCUUAGUAAGUGUGGUAGAAACAUGAGUUUUAAUUUCUGGAUAUUACAAAGAACAGAUUAUUUUGGUGCGCAGUAUCUGCGAGUUAGUGGCUUCAAUAUGAUUAAGCAUAAGGUUUGGUAUUUUCACAUACUUCUAGCCAGUUUCGGGUACUUUCUAAAGCCUUAAGGUACCAUUUCUUCUUACUGAGAGACAAAAGUGGGUAUGUUAUACUUCUAAAAAUGGCUAUUAAAUGUGUAAGGAGUAAAAUAGAUUUUUUUCUCUCAAAAGCAUCACACUCUCUCAAUUUCAGUCAGCAGGACUUAGAAGAGCUGGGCUGACUCCACAAGCAUAUAUAUUAUAUAUAUAUGUAUACACACACGCCACACACACAUAUAUGAGUAUGUGUGUAUGUAUGUAUAUAUAUAUAUGAGUGUGUGUGUGUAUAUAUAUUCCUUGUUUUCCUUCCCUAGACUGAAGUCAAGGAAAUCCCUCUGUGUACACUUCUUGAUCCUUUCACAGAAGUGUAAUAAAGUCAAAGCAACACGCUUUUACCUGUGAUAGACUUUAAUAUGCAUAUUAUAAGUACAGUGGGCAGCAGGCUUUUGUACAUUUUAGUAGUGAAAAGUGUUGUCGUAUUUGAUCUUCAGUGAUGUCCUCCAUUCUUCUUCGGGGGAAACAGGGCAUACUCAAUGCCAAGAGCAACAACGAAAGCUGCAAAUCCCCACUUGAGUCCCCUAGUAAAGACUUCUGUUAAGGUGGCAGGUUUUGCAUAGCCACCCAUAUACCUCCAAGCUUCAUUACGAGCCCAUGGAUCCCUGAGACCCCGUUUAGCCAACCUUCUUUGGACCUCCUCGAGUGGAGUACCCUCUAUCUUCCACUGCCUGUAGUCGGGCAGUUCUGUUCGGCCGUGGCCAUGGCCAUGUUCACUUCCAUGCCCCAUACCUGCCCGCUCCGCGACCCUCCGCCAGGACACAGCGGCUGC